GCCUGGCUGGCUCAAUCGGUAGAGCAUGUGACUCUUGAUCUUGGUGUCGUGAGUUCAAGCCCCAUGUUGGGGG
rnacentral:tRNA from 1 species